UACGUAGGCAGCGAGCGUUGUUCGGAGUUACUGGGCGUAAAGAGCGUGUAGGCGGUCUGGUAGGUCCGUUGUGAAAACUCGAGGCUCAACCUCGAGACGCCGAUGGAAACCAUCAGACUAGAGUCCGGAAGAGGAGAGUGGAAUUCCUGGUGUAGCGGUGAAAUGCGCAGAGAUCCGGAGGAAGACCGGUGGCGAAGGCGGCCUGCUGGGCAGUUACUGACACUGAUGCGCGACAGCGUGGGGAGCAAACAGG
rnacentral:rRNA from 1 species